rnacentral:rRNA from 1 species
AGCGAACGCUGGCGGCAGGCUUAACACAUGCAAGUCGAACGGGCUUCUUCGGAAGUCAGUGGCAGACGGGUGAGUAACACGUGGGAACGUGCCCUUCGGUUCGGAAUAACUCAGGGAAACUUGAGCUAAUACCGGAUACGCCCUUAUGGGGAAAGGUUUACUGCCGAAGGAUCGGCCCGCGUCUGAUUAGCUUGUUGGUGGGGUAACGGCCUACCAAGGCGACGAUCAGUAGCUGGUCUGAGAGGAUGAUCAGCCACACUGGGACUGAGACACGGCCCAGACUCCUACGGGAAGCAGCAGUGGGGAAUAUUGGACAAUGGGCGCAAGCCUGAUCCAGCCAUGCCGCGUGAGUGAUGAAGGCCUUAGGGUUGUAAAGCUCUUUUGUCCGGGACGAUAAUGACGGUACCGGAAGAAUAAGCCCCGGCUAACUUCGUG